rnacentral:rRNA from 1 species
UACGGGUUGUGAGAGCAAGAGCCCGGAGAUGGAACCUGAGACAAGGUUCCAGACCCUACGGGGUGCAGCAGGCGCGAAACCUCCGCAAUGUACGAAAGUGCGACGGGGGGGAUCCCAAGUGUCAUGCUUUUUUUGAUGACUUUUCAUUAGUGUAAAAAGCUUUUAGAAUAAGAGCUGGGCAAGACCGGUGCCAGCCGCCGCGGUAACACCGGCAGCUCGAGUGGUAGCUGUUUUUAUUGGGCCUAAAGCGUUCGUAGCCGGUUUGAUAAGUCUUUGGUGAAAGCUUGUAGCUUAACUAUAAGAAUUGCUGGAGAUACUAUUAGACUUGAAGUCGGGAGAGGUUAGAGGUACUACCGGGGUAGGGGUGAAAUCCUAUAAUCCUGGGAGGACCACCUGUGGCGAAGGCGGCUAACUGGAACGAACUGACGGUGAGGGACGAAAGCUAGGGGCGCGAACCGGAUUAGAUACCCGGGUAGUCCUAGCCGUAAACGAUGCGGACUUGGUGUUGGGAUGGCUUUGAGCCGCUCCGGUGCCGAAGGGAAGCUGUUAAGUCCGCCGCCUGGGAAGUACGGUCGCAAGACUGAAACUUAAAGGAAUUGGCGGGGGAGCA